GACGUAGGGCGCGAGCGUUGUCCGGAUUUAUUGGGCGUAAAGAGCUCGUAGGCGGUUUGUCGCGUCUGCCGUGAAAGUCCGGGGCUCAACUCCGGAUCUGCGGUGGGUACGGGCAGACUAGAGUGAUGUAGGGGAGACUGGAAUUCCUGGGUGUAGCGGUGAAAUGCGCAGAGUAUCAGGAGGAACACCGAUGGCGAAGGCAG
rnacentral:rRNA from 1 species